rnacentral:misc_RNA from 1 species
UAAUAAGUGUUUUAUGGCACUUUUUAAAUCCAUAUCCACCUUGUGUGCAUGUCAGUCGAUCUUCUUCAUGGAGAUCGACCAAACAUCAACCUUUAUCUUUCAACUCUUUGUCUGAAAAAUAUUAUGAAUAAACAAUUCAAAAUA